UACGUAGGGGGCGAGCGUUGUCCGGAUUUAUUGGGCGUAAAGCGCUCGUAGGCGGCUCAGUAAGUCAGGUGUGAAAACUCCAGGCUCAACCUGGAGACGCCACCUGAUACUGCUGUGGCUAGAGUCCGGUAGGGGAGCAUGGAAUUCCUGGUGUAGCGGUGAAAUGCGCAGAUAUCAGGAGGAACACCAGUGGCGAAGGCGGUGCUCUGGGCCGGAACUGACGCUGAGGAGCGAAAGCGUGGGGAGCAAACAGG
rnacentral:rRNA from 1 species